GGGGGCCCGCACAAGCGGUGGAGCAUUGUGGUUUAAUUCGAAGCAACGCGCAGAACCUUACCACCUCUGACAUCCCCAACGCGGUUUCCCGAGAGGGAAUCCUUCAGUUCGGCUGGUUGGGUGACAGGUGCUGCAUGGCUGUCGUCAGCUCGUGUCGUGAGAUGUUGGGUUAAGUCCCGCAACGAGCGCAACCCACGCCCUUAGUUGCCAUCGGUUCGGCCGGGCACUCUAGGGGAACCGCCGGUGAUAAGCCGGAGGAAGGUGUGGAUGACGUCAAGUCCUCAUGGCCCUUACGAGGUGGGCUACACACGUGCUACAAUGGCAGUGACAAUGGGUUGAUCCCAAAAAACUGUCUCAGUUCGGAUUGUCGUCUGCAACUCGACGGCAUGAAGUCGGAAUCGCUAGUAAUCGCGUAACAGCAUGACGCGGUGAAUACGUUCCCGGGCCUUGUACACACCGCCCGUCACACCAUGGGAGUUGGGUUUACCCGAAGACGGUGCGCUGACUUCGGGGGCAGCCGGCCACGGUAAGCUCAGCGACUGGGGUGAAGUCGUAACAAGGUAACCAAGGGCGAA
rnacentral:rRNA from 1 species